rnacentral:tRNA from 1 species
CAGGGAGACAACAAAAUGUUUAAAAUUAUUAUUUUGUCACCUUAGGUCGAUCGGUAUCUCACGUUCUUAAUUUAUUAAGAAUUUCAUUUCCUAAGUUUUUCUAGGUCACACCCAUUAUUUUUCCUGGGCCAUUAGCUCAGGUGGUUAGAGCGCACCCCUGAUAAGGGUGAGGUCCCUGGUUCAAGUCCAGGAUGGCCCAUAUCUCUAUGUUGGGGGUAUAGCUCAGUUGGUAGAGCGCCUGCUUUGCAAGCAGGAUGUCAGCGGUUCGAGUCCGCUUACCUCCACUGAUUACCACCUCUUCCAUAACCGGUAGAAAGGAAAUGUUUUGAGUUGUGAUCAAAUUCUGAAAGAAUCUAGCUUCCUAAUGAAAUCAUUAAGAUGCUGGACUCAUUGAAUUAAUUUCAUUGUUUUCAGAGAACCUUGACAACUGCAUAGAUUAUUUUAAAGACAAUAAGUAUCUUUAAUGAUGCAGAUUUAUUAUUUGUGCGAAUGCAUUAAUAACAAUUCUAUUAAGCUGAUGCUUCAAUUUUUGAAGUUAUU